rnacentral:rRNA from 1 species
AGGGUUCGAUUCUGGCUCAGGAUGAACGCUAGCUACAGGCUUAACACAUGCAAGUCGAGCGGAACACCUUCGGGUGUUUAGCGGCAGACGGGUGAGUAACACGUAUCCAACCUUCCCUUACUCGGGUAUAGCCUCGGGAAACUGAGAGUAAUCCCCGAUGUGGUGCACGGAAAGCAUUUUUUGCGCACGAAAGAUUUAUCGGUAAGGGGUGGGGAUGCGUUCCAUUAGGUAGUAGGCGGGGUAACGGCCCACCUAGCUGAUGAUGGAUAGGGGUUCUGAGAGGAAGGUCCCCCACAUUGGAACUGCGACACGGUCCAAACUCCUACGGGAGGCAGCAGUGAGGAAUAUUGGUCAAUGGGCGAGAGCCUGAACCAGCCAAGUAGCGUGCAGGAUGACGGCCCUAUGGGUUGUAAACUGCUUUUGUGCGGGAAUAACGGUCGCCACGUGUGGUGAUGUGCAUGUACCGUACGAAUAAGGAUCGGCUAACUCCGUGCCAGCCGCUGC